rnacentral:rRNA from 1 species
CCUACGGGUGGCAGCAGUGGGGAAUAUUGGGCAAUGGGCGCAAGCCUGACCCAGCAACGCCGCGUGAAGGAAGAAGGCUUUCGGGUUGUAAACUUCUUUUAAGAGGGAAGAGUAGAAGACGGUACCUCUUGAAUAAGCCACGGCUAACUACGUGCCAGCAGCCGCGGUAAUACGUAGGUGGCAAGCGUUGUCCGGAAUUACUGGGCGUAAAGGGUGUGCAGGCGGCUGAGUAAGACAGAUGUGAAAUCCCCGGGCUUAACCUGGGAACCGCAUAUGUGACUGCUUGGCUAGAGUGCGUGAGAGGGAGGUGGAAUUCCACGUGUAGCAGUGAAAUGCUUAGAUAUGACGAAGAACCCCGAUUGCGAAGGCAGCUUGCUGCAGCGGAACUGACGCUGAUGCUCGAAAGCGCGGGUAUCGAACAGGAUUAGAUACCCUUGUAGUC